CAGGAACAUUGUGUGGAUUUCUGACACUCCCUGAAGGACAUUAGGACCAUAAACCAGUGAAUGGAUUACAAUGAGGCAUAAAUAGAGCAUUUCUAUCCAUGACAGAUGCAAUCCAGCUCUAGCACUGCUUAUGUUAUUUAAAGGAAAACUAUAUCUAUUUCCCUCAGACCAGCUUUCUGAAUUUCAAGUGAUAAAAUAAGUCAUAAAUGUUUUUCCACAUGAAUAAACUGGGAGCUUCAUUUGGAAAUGAUUUGUCAGCAUUGUUUUAGAGGGAGCCUGGCUGUUACGUCUCACAGAAUACACUUCCACACGAAUACGAGACCACAGAACUAAUUCCAAUCAUAAUAUUAGAAGAACUGCAGGAUUUUGCAUAGCUUGUCAUCCCAAGCAGAGAAAGUCCUACUUUGCUGCUCUGGCUUGCCAUUCGAAGCAUGCAGUGCUGCAAGCCAGCUAGGCUGUAACAGACUUAUAAGGAAUAAUGUCCUAAAGCCAAGAAGCAGGUGUGAGACAAGUUUCUCACUUGUGCAGACAUAUGCUACAAAAUGCUGCAACCUUUCCUGCAUAAUAUCUUAAUGUAUAGUCAUUAGGCAGGACAGAGUGGAGGGCACACAUAUGGAAAAUGCCUCUUAUUCGGAGACCGGAGCGUGUACUUUCUGUUUGAUGCUGGCACGUGCAAGGAGAGACUAACAUGCAGGCUCCAAACUGCUGAUUGCAAUCUGAGAAAGAAACAAUCGUGAAGACAGCAGGAAUUUUACCACGUUUUAGACUAGUAAAAUUUCUCUGGGAAUUAUUUGCAGAAGUGGCACACCUGGAAUCUGAAUUACUGUAUCUGGAUUGCAGUGCACUGGCAGGACAUAUUCUGUACAGCCAAGACAAGCUGCAAAAUUCCUCUGCUUCUCCCAUGACCUGUCAUCACCUACCUUCUAGCCAAGACAUGGUUUGGAAGAAUCAGUGGGUAAAGAGCAUGUGGAGUAAAUUAUAUUUGGAAAGUGAAGAAAUCUGAAAUAGUGUUGCACCCUUUGCUGUCUUUGGUGCAGGGACCUUCCUGCCGUUCUCAGCUGGCAGCUGGUGGAUUGGUGACAAUGACCUGGACCUUUUAUUGAUAUUACCCCAUUUAACAUCAUGUGAUGAUUUUACCAUGCAUGAUAUGAAAUCAGGUUUUGCAGACGGAAUAAAAAUCCAUCCUUCAAAAGGAA